GCUACCAAGUGUUACAGCAAUGCUAACAGUUAUCCAGCAAUGCUAAUGUAAUAGCUGGAGAUGUUUAUGACAAUAAAGGUUUAUGUGAACUAGGCCCCCAUGUGCUAACAACACCACUAUACUGAUGCUACCAAGUGUUACAGCAAUGCUAACAGUUAUCCAGCAAUGCUAAUGUAAUAGCUGGAGAUGUUUAUGACAAUAAAGGUUUAUGUGAACUAGGCCCCCAUGUGCUAACAACACCACUAUACUGAUGCUACCAAGUGUUACAGCAAUGCUAACAGUUAUCCAGCAAUGCUAAUGUGAUAGCUGGAGAUGUUUAUGACAAUAAAGGUUUAUGUGAACUGGGCAUGGUGCUAAGAUGGUUUGAUUUGGAUUUUGGGGGCGAGGGGGCAUAAGAGAGAAGAGUCUCCCUUAAAAUGUCCAUCUUACAAAGACCCCCUCCC